rnacentral:lncRNA from 1 species
UUUCCUUGAAGCGAUUGAUUUUAUAUGAUUUUCCAAAGUUAGGAUUCAAAUGUGUAUGUGUCUUGAUUAAACUUGUGAUUGGUAGUUAAUUGAGAUCCUACACUACUAAACUUGAAUUGAGGUUUUAUUGUUCUAACUACCUAUUGAGGAUUAUUGAUUACUAAAGCUUGUUAAUAUGAUAGUUGAUGGACAUAAUUAUGUUUAUAUGAUUAAUUACUUUGGGAUUUUGUGUUUUACAUGUAUGGUUAGUUGUAAACUGAUCUCUAUGGAAUGGAUUUGUUUACUUCUAAACUUUCUCAAGUAGAGGAAUUCCUAUAAGAUAGGAAUAUUAGUUUAUACUUUCUUAAAGUUCAUAAGAGUUAGUAUAUUGGUUAGUUUAGUUGAUUCAACCCUAGCUCUGCAGAAGAUUAAAAGUUUAUUGGGAUGUUAUUUAUAGCUAAUUCUUCUUAUCUAGUUAUCCAAUCUUAUUUUAGAAUCUUGCUAUUAUGAAGGUGACAGUAGCAAUGAUAGAUAAGUGAGCAAGAGUUUCUACAUCGUUAAGCGUAUCAGGUGGGCUUUCUAAACUCAUAAUUUGAAGUGCGCACUAUUUAAUUAUGUUAUUAUAUGAAUGAAGUUAUAUUAAAGUUAUUGACUUGCCAAAACUUUUAUGAGCUUGUAUGUUACCAUCUACGAGAGAUAGACGAUAUCGGCCCUAUGCUGAAGCGAGAUGUCAGUAAGGGUUUGUGCACAUAGUUGUGACCGUGAGUCAUCGAGCGGGUUGGCCGGUCACUGUGAUCGGGAGCCUUCGGGCCGAUCACUGUGUUUGAGAAGGAGGCCUACUUCUCAACACAAGGUUACAUGAUGCGUAGUUAUGGUACAUACAUGUUAAUUGUCUGCAGACGUAUAUGAUAUUAUGAUGAUAUAUAUAUAGAAGUUUUACAGUUUUGGCGUGCACAGGUUAUUUAAAUAAAACUCCUGUGUGAUGCUUGAGAUGGCAAGUUCAAUAUAUAGCUCUAAGAGCAAACUUUAAAGUUAUUUCGGCAUGUGACCAUUGAGUACCUUUUUAGUACUCAGCCCUGCAUAUGUUUCUAAAUGUGCAGGUUAAGCUGUGAUGCAGAUGGAGGCGAGCAGAGCAAAGCUUUUGAAGUAUAAGUAUUAAAUUAGGCUCAGGAUUUCAUGUCUUCAUACAUGUAAUCCACUUAAGUUAUUCCGCUGCAACACUUAGUGUAUUUUACUUUAUUGAUGUGUUGUACAGAUUUUAAACCAAUAGCUUCGAAAAUUAUGUCACUUGAAAAUUUGACAACUUGUCGUUAUGUAUUGUGAGUUGUCUGCUUUGAGUUUUAGAAAAGAUUGUUUAUGAUUACCAAAUAUUUAGGUAAAUUAUUGUUUAAGCAAGAUGAUUAUUUUUAUUGAAACCUCUUUUAUUUUCCAUUUUCUUUUUCCAUUUCCCCAGUCACAUUUUCCCCGGCUUAACUGUUGUUAGCUUAGGUCGGGCUGUGACAGAGUGGUAUCAGAGCAG